UCCUGAGAGGCUUCAUCCAGCAGCAGAUGGAGGCAAAUCACAGCGUUGGAAAACACUCUCAUCACUACACCGAGAGCCUUCCAAUGGAGACUUAACAGAAUGCCAACUGCAGCAACAGAAGGAAAAACUUGGGUAGCAAGAAAGCGCGUCCAUAUUCUUCCGUUCAGUUAUAAUGAGGGGUUUGAAGGUAUCAGAUCCUGCCCGGCAUGGGCCUGACAUCCCAAGAGACAGGAAUCUUGAGAAGGAUUCAGGCAUAAAGCCAUUGGAUCAGAGCUUGGCAAUAGCUAACUUCUUCCUGAUGUUCCUUGGAGGCUCCAUUGUAAGGAAGGAGAAAGAGAGCUAGAGAGCAAGCAGCUCAGUGUGGUGUUCA